AGGUGUGCAUGGUUGUCGUCAGCUCGUGUCGUGAGAUGUUGGGUUAAGUCCCGCAACGAGCGCAACCCUUGCUGUUAGUUGCCAGCGCGUAGAGGCGGGCACUCUAAUGGGACUGCCGGCGACAAGUCGGAGGAAGGUGGGGACGACGUCAAAUCAUCAUGCCCCUUAUGUUCUGGGCUACACACGUACUACAAUGACUGCAACAGAGGGAAGCGAGACCGCAAGGUGGAGCCGAUCCCCAAAAACAGUCCCAGUUCGGAUUGCGGGCUGCAACUCGCCCGCAUGAAGUCGGAAUUGCUAGUAAUGGCAGGUCAGCAUACUGCCGUGAAUACGUUCCCGGGCCUU
rnacentral:rRNA from 1 species